AGAGAUGGCAUGUAAUACAAAAAGAUGAUACAAAAUAAUAGAUAUGAAUUUAU
rnacentral:guide_RNA from 1 species